AUUGAACGCUGGCGGCAGGCCUAACACAUGCAAGUCGAGCGGCAGCACGGGUACUUGUACCUGGUGGCGAGCGGCGGACGGGUGAGUAAUGCCUAGGAAUCUGCCUGGUAGUGGGGGAUAACGCUCGGAAACGGACGCUAAUACCGCACACGUCCUACGGGAGAAAGCAGGGGACCUUCGGGCCUUGCGCUAUCAGAUGA
rnacentral:rRNA from 1 species